rnacentral:tRNA from 1 species
CCCCCGAUAGCUCAGUUGGAAGAGCGCAAGACUGUAAUGGAAACACCUGCCCAUCUUGAGGUCACUAGUUCGAUCCUGGUUCGGGGGA